rnacentral:rRNA from 1 species
AAUGAACGCUGGCGGCAUGCCUAACACAUGCAAGUCGAACGACACCUCCGGGUCUAGUGGCGCUCGGGUGUGUCACGCGUGGGAACCUUCACUUAGGUUCGGAAUACCUCUCUGACGGGGGUGCUAAUACCGGUUAAUGUCUUCGGACACAAGAUUUUUCGUCCUUGGAGGGGCCCGCGUUGGUUUAGCUUGUUGGUAGGGUAAAAGCCUACCAAGGCGUGGAUCCAUAGCUGGUCUGAGAGGAUGGUCAGCCACACUGGGACUGAGACACGGCCCAGACUCCUACGGGAGGCAGGAGUGGGGAAUAUUGGACAAUGGGCGAAAGCCUGAUCGAGCACUGCCGCGUGAGUGAUGUAGGCCUGAGGGUUGUAAAGCUCUUUUACCCGGGAUGAUAAUGACGGUACCGGGAGAAUAAGCACCGGCUAACUCCGUG